rnacentral:rRNA from 1 species
AUUGAACGCUGGCGGCAGGCUUAACACAUGCAAGUCGAGCGGAGAUGAGGUGCUUGCACCUUAUCUUAGCGGCGGACGGGUGAGUAAUGCUUAGGAAUCUGCCUAUUAGUGGGGGACAACAUUCCGAAAGGAAUGCUAAUACCGCAUACGUACUACGGGAGAAAGCAGGGGAUCUUCGGACCUUGCGCUAAUAGAUGAGCCUAAGUCGGAUUAACUAGUUGGUGGGGUAAAGGCCUACCACGGCGACGAUCUGUAGCGGGUCUGAGAGGAUGAUCCGCCACAGUGGUGUUGAGGCACGGCCCAGAAUCCUACGUGAGGCAGCAGUGGGGAAUAUUGGACAAUGGGGGGAACCCUAAUCCAGCCAUGCCGCGUGUGUGAAGAAGGCCUUAUGGUUGUAAAGCACUUUAAGCGAGGAGGAGGCUACUGAGACUAAUACUCUUGGAUAGUGGACGUUACUCGCAGAAUAAGCACCGGCUAACUCUGUGCCAGCAGCCGCCGUAA